CAAGGCAGUGGGGGCGCGCCGGGGCCCUGGGGAGGCCCAGCUCCCGCGGGCGCAGAGGAGGCCCGGCUUCCCCUCCCCCGGACGGAAGGUGGACCGAGGAGCCCCGUCCCGGCUCAGACGGGCUUCCUCGCCACCUUCCGGACAAAGUGUCAAGUACAAGUUCAAGUUCAGGGCCAGGCCCGGGGGGCGCCGAGCCUUACCCGGCCGCCUUUGUUCUCCGGGAUAAUCGUUCCCACAUCCACUCCCCGGCGGGGCCCGGCACAAACCCCCGCCCCGCCCCACCGCACCCUGCUGGAGCCGCCUCCUCCCGCCGGCGCGGCGCCUGUCCCCUGGUCCCGGCGUCCCCGCUCGGGGCCACUGUAGGGUCUGGGGGCUCGGGGCGGGGGAGGCGCGGUACCAGCCCGUGGGAGCCUCCCCAACCCCGCAGUCCCAGCGGCAAACUGCGCUCGGUCGGACGGAUGCCUGCGCCGAGUUUCCGUGGGCCGGGAGUCCUGGAAUGGCUUAGCUGGGCCCCCUGCAAGCCUGAAAUCAAGGUGCGGGUCAGGACUGGGUCCCCACCUGGAAGGCUGACUAGAGGAGGAUCCACUUCCAAGCUCCUGCAGCUCUUGGCAGAAGUCAGUUUCUUGUGCUUACAGGAUGGGAGGCUCAUUUCCUUGAUGGCCAUCAGCUGCCCUCAGUAUCUAGGGGCUACUCUGAUUUGGGUCCCAGCAUGGUCACCUGCCUUAUCAGUGCCAGCAAGAGCAUGAGAGACUCCAGCCAGGUGAGGAAACUGAGGCUCAAGGAAAUGAAGUGAUCUGCCCGAGACCAAACAUGUAAUUACUAGCAAGAUGGAUUUAAAGCUAAGUUGGUUUGGCUGUCAGGCAUCUACUUUUUUUCCUGUAUCAAGAUGCUAAUGAACAAACCAAGAAUCACCUCCUACAUAUUGUCUAGUGAAGCCAGCUGUCUCUGGGCUUGGACACAACUGUAUCUCUUCCCUCACUUUGAAAUCACUGUGGCUGUCACUCUGGGCCCUUCCCCAAUGACAUUUGUGCCACUGAGCCCGAGUAAACAGCUAUCCGUGUAUGUCC